GGAAACCGGAGCUAAUACCGGAUAAUAUUUUGAACCGCAUGGUUCAAAGUAAAAGACGGUCUUGCUGUCACUUAUAGAUGGAUCCGCGCUGCAUUAGCUAGUUGGUAAGGUAACGGCUUACCAAGGCAACGAUGCAUAGCCGACCUGAGAGGGUGAUCGGCCACACUGGAACUGAGACACGGUCCAG
rnacentral:rRNA from 1 species